CGUUGAGUGGUUCCGAAAUCGCUGCGUUAGGGGCGACUGCAACCAAGCGUUGCGGCAAGUUACGGUGGGAGCUUCUGUCCGUGCUGUGUGAUUGCGACGAGGGGACCGCCGCCAGCAGCAGCGUAUCGCCGAUUUCGUCUUUCGGUUUGCACUGCAUCUUUCAUUGUGAUAUUGGAGAUCGCAACGGACAGAGACGACCAGAUGCAUACGAACCACUACCAGCGGGGACCUGUGACUUGUGCCAUAUUUCUCUUAACGUCUCAGGUAUUCAAGAAAUGCCAACAUCCAGAAGACGCCAUCUUAUCCAGCACGUUAUGGGUACACUCUGGUGGCUCCCGCCCUUGCAUCCUACCACCACUGUGUCCUGACUACGUCCACUAGAGAGUUCGAAGCCUUUGGCGGCUCCUGCCACUGCGUCCUGCCACCACCAUGUCCUGACUACGUCCACUAGGGAGUUGGCAGCCUUCGUGAUGAUGCCAAGCAGGCUGGAAGCCGACAGAAAGAUUAAGGUUGCCUAGAAAUUUUACCAAAGCCGUACCACACACUCGGGCAAGGCCUUUUUGCAAAUGGCGUAUAACCAGGCUCAACGCAUGAGUGUCGAGUGAGUCUGGAGAUCAAGGCAGCCUGCUGUGCAACCAGCAUGCAACCUUUGGUGGCCCCUCUACAUGUUCCACCUAUUUCACAGCUGCACCUCCACCGCAACUUAUCCAAACAGCAUCACCAACUGUGGUCACUCAUCGAACCAUGGACGAAUGUUGGGGUGGAGUGAUUUGAAGAGACAUUCUAUUUGUCUCUUCAAAUUCUUAGCAAAUACUUGUGUUAUUAUAAUUAAUAUGUGUCUUUA